CUCAUCACGGAAACAUGGAAAUAAAAACUAAAAAAUAUAAAUUGAAGCAUGGAUUACUUAUGAGGAACUUUGUAUUAAAAUUUUUAUGACUUGACUAUGAAAAUUGUAAGACAAUUUACAAAUUAUUGUGAUUUUGACAUACAAGUGCCGAACUGCUGAGAACCGUUCGUCCGCCAAAAAUGGAUUUUCACAGUUUUCAGACACUGAACUACCGAAGUUGCUUCUUGUUCUUCCUCUACUGGACUAUAUGGCUUUUCAGCAUAGGCGUUAACUGGGGAUGGCAAGGGGGCAUUGCCCUCUAAAAUAAAUUAGGAGUAAGUAAUAUAAUAUUAAUCAAUAAUAUAUUGAUAUGUAAGAUGUAACUAUAUAUUUGCUCCAAUGCUUUCCUUAAUAAAUUUCCAUGUUACGCUCAUGCCUUCCAAUACUCCAGUGGAACAGUGUCAGUAUAAUAUAAUACACUACAGAAACUAAAAUAUAUAUAUUUUCGUACUAUAGUGUACUACACAAUGUAUGCUAAACUUUACAUUACCGUGGGGGCCGGGGAGUAUGCACACAAACAUAAA